rnacentral:lncRNA from 1 species
UGAGUGUACGACAGCAGGCAAGGCAAGCUGGAGCCCAAAAUGGGGGUAGACUUGAGAAUGAGCAUCUUUGAUCUGGCUCCUUGUGGUCCUGCACUGAGUUUUUAGGACCCACAUGUCCACUGGAGCUGCAGCAAGAGAGUAACAGUGAUCACUGGUUGGCUGGUGCAUAUCCCAAAACAUGUAAAAAACAUAAUAUGGCGUUCAGAAUGUGUUUCUUACAGGAUGCACAAUAACAUAGACUUUGGGAAGGGAGGAAUUUUUGGAAUGAAAAAAUUUUGGUUGAAAUGGGCCUUCCAGAAUGAUCACAGAUUCAGAAGAAUCUGUCUUCUUCUCAGAAAAAGAAUUUUCCAUUGACUCAUGAAGUUUUAUUGUACCAAAAAGGCUAGAGAAAUCUAUUUGCUUUUAACAAAAACUUUAAUGUAUUUGUCAAAGCUUACCGUUGCUAAUAAAUAUCUAUAUGGCAUCUUAAAAAAUCCAUAUGGUAUUCCUAUAUCAGAAUCAGCAUGUGUAAUCCACAGAAAGCAUCCAUCCACUCCUUAAAAAUGCAUCAAGUUCUCCAUAAAAAAACCAAAUAAUAUACAGAUAAUAUAAUUGGCUGUAUGGUCCUAUGGAAUGAGAUAUUGGUGAGUUCUCCUCUCUGGGUUCUGUCUGAAGGCAGAGGAAGGUGCUUCUCUGACACAGCUUCACACUCCAUACUCUGGGGUUAGGAGUGUGCAAAGCCUCCACAGGUACAGGUACCUGGCCAGUGUAGAUGAUGAUUGUGGCCACUAUGUGAUGGAUGACUCAGUGCAGCUGCUGAACUGCCUUGAAUAUGCCCUACUCAUUUUGUGAUUCCUGCUAGCAAAGAGAUUUUUCUAGAGGUCUUUCUUAUAUGCUGUUAUUGCGUCUUUUUCAGAUCUACUGUAUCUUUGAGCCAUUGCUGAGCAGUGAGGUUGUGUGGGCUUGAUGAGAAAAAUGCCUUUUAAAAAUGGACUGUGGGACUAUUUGUGUUCUUACAGCCCAUGCAGCAGCAGUGCAUAUUUAAAACACAGUGGUGGUCUCUUCCUGGCACCUGUGAAUUCUGAGGAAUGUGAAUUACUGAUCUGCUUUGGAAAGUUUGUACACACACUGAAGAAGAAGAAGAAGAUAAAAACCAGCAGCCUUACAGGAAUAUGAAGGCCUCUGCUCGUACUCCCUCAGUACAAGGAAAAUGUAAGCAAAUGUAUGAAAAAAAUGUCCAGUGUUUGCAGACUUUUUCUCCAUUUCCCAUAGAAUUAGAGAAGAGUGGGUUAAGAAAGAUCUAAAAGGGUCAGACUGAAAUUUGCAGGCAAAAACAUUUGGUGGACCAUUCAAAAGGAAGCUAAAAAUAAGGGAAUAGAUUAAAAACAAAACUACUCACUAAUUAUUUGGAAAAAAUUAAAUGUUCCUCACAGUUGUGAGUGUUCUCUGUGCUUUGUGCUUUUCCCCCAUGACAGGAUGCCCCAGAGCCCUGAUCACUGCAAAUCAGUCUUACACCAGUGCUUGCCCCUUUCUUCUUUUGCAGAGGGAUGUAGAUCUGUAAAGUAAGAAGCACCCAAGUGGACAACCUAUUUAAUUGUGUUUAAUUGACUUAGUUAUUCCAAGACAGUACAGUGCUGUAUUUUCUGAUACAGGACAUGCAGAAAUUCCUUUCACUUUCAGCCAUUAUAAAAUUAAAUAUUCAUUUUUUGCUUUGUGACAUCAUAACAGAAAAUGACAUGAUACUAAUACUAUUCUACAUUGAGUAUGCGCAAACAGGUAAAGCAAGAUGUAAAUCCUCUUUAACCUAAAAAGGUCUUUUUCAAAUUUCUUACAAGGAAUUUCUACUCAUGACAUUUUUUUUUCUCAGAACACUGAUAGCAAAACUAUCACAUGAUAUAUAUAUGUUUGAUAUUGUUUUGUUUUGGAAUUCACAAUGAGUGGGACUCUCAAAAACAACCUGGGAUGAUCUCACUCAAAUCUUACUGGCAUUGCAUGUCUGCAAGGACAUGACACUUUGGAAAAAAUCCACCUCAGAAUCACUUAAGCUGCCACAUGACAGUAAAUCUAAUUUCAAGGAGCAUUGUCGAGAAACAGAACACCACAGCCACAUGACAUAAAGCCCUGAAGCUGUACAAUGUCCCCCUGUCAGUCCAAGUUGUUAAAAAAUACUAAAGGAGAACCUUUUGUUUUAGCAGGAUUUAGGUCAGAAAGGCAUAAUUUGUUUGUUUAUAGCUGGGAUAAAGCUGAAAUGCAGCUCAAGAUGUAAGCUCCACGUUGCUGGGGCUGAUGUUGGUGGUUCUGUAUGGCAGUAGGAACGUCAGAGUCCUUGCAUUUAGUGCUAUGAGAAUAAGGGCUCACAGCUGGGUGGGCAUAUGCUGUAGGGGUCUGUAAGGGCAAUGGAGAGCUUUACCCUUCUGCAGCAAGAACAAAGAGAACAAAAGCAUCUUGUAUCCAAAGGGGUGUAGCAGGUUCAGCUAUUAUUUUGCCUAUCAAAAAAAAAAAGGAGUUCUUGGGAGCUUUGUGGUAGCAUGACAUGGGUGAAGGAGUGCCUUUUUCCUGAUUUUAUUUUGGGUCAAAACAGAAGAAUAAUGUUGUGACUCCAGUGCUGUGUUACUGUAGAUACUCAAUGCAUCUUUAGAAUUUAAUCUACUUUACUGACUACAAAAAGAUCACCUAAUGCAGUAGAAUCAUGCCAACUAUCAAACAAUAAUCUGAGCAGUCAGCGAGCUGGAGUAUGAUCUGCUCUGUUUGUCAAAUUUGUGGAGUUAGGGCACUUUCUUGCUUUCCCUCUGCCUAGAUCCAUUGUAAUAAAUUUGGAUUGCGUGUCA